UUUUUCAACGUUUUUAUUUAUUUUUGGGACAGAGAGAGACAGAGCAUGAACGGGGGAGGGGCAGAGAGAGAGGGAGACACAGAAUCAGAAACAGGCUCCAGGCUCCGAGCCAUCAGCCCAGAGCCUGACGCGGGGCUCGAACUCACGGACCACGAGAUCGUGACCUGGCUGAAGUCGGACGCUUAACCGACUGCACCACCCAGGCGCCCCUGACAAAUGCACUGUUUUUGUUAGUUCUUUAACAAACAUUUGUUGGGAGAAGACGGUAUACAAAAAGAAGUGCUAACCACCAAACUACAACAUUUACUGUUAGUGGUUUGAAAUGUAACGAACAUUCAUGUAACUACACUGAAAAGUAUCUUCUGGAUAUUUUAGUAAGAAAUUUUGCAUGGCAAACUGCCUUACAAGCUGACUUGAUGUGGGAGUCCUUCAUCAUCAUUCCAAAAAUUUCUAUAAGCAUGGUAAACAUGAAGAACAUCACCUUAGGGAGACAAGACACAGGUUCGAAGACCAUCAAUAUGUACCAAUUUGUUUGAUCUUCAGAAAAAUCUCAUGAAAUAGUUAUCAUUCCUGUUUCCAGAAACGAGGCCCAGAGAGACUGACGUCAUUCAGCAAAAUGCACAAGGACUCAAGCCCAGAAAACCGAUUCCAGAGACUUGAUCAUUAACUCCUUAAAUUCAUAUAUACCUUACAAUCUACAGAGUCCUCUAGAAGAUACAGAAAUAUUAUCUGAUCCUCUCAACAAUGCUUAGAAUUAAGUCAGGAACAUCUUUGUCUCCACGGUACACAUAGGGAAACUGAGGCUCGGAGAUAUUAAAUUACUGGUACAGAAAAUCAGUAACACUAGUGCCAGCCAAGUCAGGGGCUGAAAACUACAACUCCUCACUCCUAAAAUGCUGCACCACCUCUGACUUCUGCUUUAGCAGCCUUGUUGGUGAGGAUUAAAUUACAUUUACACAAUCAGAUAUGCAGAGGGAUGACAGCUGCAUCUACGGUUUAUUGGGUUUGGCAUGAAGAUCCCAAUACCUGAAAACUGGUCGUUAUCUCUAGGCUGAAAUAUGAUUUCAUACAGCCCCAAUGUCAGGAAGUAUCCGUGGGAAGAGAACAGGAGGCGGAGAAGCUGACCAAGUGAGCAGUAUCUAAUAGCUGGCUCCAGAAUUCACCCUUUCUUGGAGCCUGUCGCCCGUCAAAGUGGCCCUGCUGCGGCAGGAGCCUGAGAGAGUGACCAAAAGGCAACGCCGGGAUGCAAAGGCUGAGGGGAGAGAAACCCCAGUUCGAACCCAAGACCGAAGCCCUUUAUUGUGUCUUUUCUGGUUAACGCCCCUCCUGCCUCCCUGCCCUCUCUUCCCCAACCCUCCCAUUAUGUGCCCACGGUGCCAAACGUUGUAAGUCAACCCCCCGGCUGCUGCUCCUACCUUUCUGUCUCAUUUCUCAAUUACCCCAGGAACAAAUCAAUAAUUUUGGGUCGUCUGCUGGUUUCUAGUAGCCAGGGCAUUGCAGCUCUGUCUCAUAUUACCCACUAACUCAUCAUCCUUCCAUUACACAAUUCACACCGAACCACAUUUGCUUCCGAUCCGCAGUGACACCCCCCCCCCUUUUUUAACUGCAGUCCAAUAAUGCUGACAUGGUUAGGAAUCGGAAGUAAUGGCUAUUCUCAGCCAACUCCCUGAGAAUCGGAAGCUUGGGGCAGGGAUGGGGAACCCUAGGACGUGCUUCCCUCCUUAGCAGCAGCGUCCCCUCCGGAGGCCCUGCUGGCCAAGAGGCAGCCGCACAAAACCACUCAUCCCGGGGCUCCUGCCCCUUGGCUCCAGCCCCUGCCACUGCUGCUAUAGAAACACCAGGCGUACACACUGGGCUGAAAUUAAACACCCAUCCGGGACUGGGACCCGAGCCCGCAUCUGCCUGCUGCCGCGGUCGCCAUGGCAACAUGCCGAGAGGAGGGCAGCGAGCCGCGCGCGGGGAUACUCACUCCAUCGCGGGGCUCUGGGCGGCCGGGCGCGCUGCUGCGGG